CCUUAUCUCAAAACAAGAUCAGUUACAAUGUGAUUGCUUAUAUUGAAUUUAAGACAGAAGCUGAUGCAGAAAAAACUUUUGAAGAAAAGCAAGGAACAGAGAUAGAUGGGAGAUCUGUUUCCCUCUACUACACUGGGGAGAAAGGUCAAAAUCAAGACUACAGAGGUGGCAAGAACAGCACCUGGAGCGGCGAAUCCAAAACUCUGUAUUUAAGCAACCUUUCGUACAGUGCAACAGAAGAAACUCUUCAGGAAGUAUUUGAGAAGGCAACUUUGAUCAAAGUGCCCCAGAACCAAAAUGGCAAAUCUAAAGGGUACGCCUUCAUAGAAUUUGCUUCAUUUGAAGAUGCGAAAGAAGCUUUGAACUCUUGCAAUAAAAGGGAAAUUGAGGGCAGAACGAUCAGACUGGAGCUG